GUCAGCCAUUAACUGUGCGGGGAGUCCCAGCUGGAGCCUUAGCCUGGCUUAGACAUGUCCGAGCAAGCCUGAAGAACUGCAAUGUGGAUUUGCUAGCAACCUAUGUGUGCCUGAGAUAGUAGAGCCUCCUGGGAAGGAUGAAAGAAUCAGGCGCAACCUCCGUAACUAGAUGUUGCUUGUAUCAAGAAAGGAGCAACUGAACACUGUUUGACUAAGGAAACAGGCUUAAGGAGCGUGAGUAACUCGCCCAAGGCCAUGUAACUACCUCAGCAGCAAGGCUGGGCUCUGGCCUCAGCAUCCACCCUGUGCCUCGCCGUCGUCGGCUUCGGGAAGUACUGAAGUCCAAGCUGCCACAGGGGUUGGGGGAGAAUAAACAAACCAGGCUAAAUCCCAGUUCUUCAGGAUUUUUUUCUUGCUACUUGAAAAGAAGGCCUGAUGCGAGAUGAAGUAGAAGGCCAUUCGUCUGUCAGUGCUGAAGCAGGGAAGUCCAGGGGAAAGCCGAUGGUAAAUGUGACAGUCACUUCAGACUCGAAGGCAAAAAUACAGUCAUGGGUGAGAAAAUC
rnacentral:lncRNA from 1 species